rnacentral:lncRNA from 1 species
UUGUAUAUUAAUUACGUCAGGUGAUCAUUCUGUCCUCGAUAUCACAACCCAGCCGAACCCGACAGAGAGCAGUGAAGGAUUGUGCGAUUCCCGUGAAGAUUGUAUAUUUGUCAUCCACGCGGAGACACCUACCAUCAUUGAGGACAACUCGGGCAGGGAAUAUUGACAACCUGUAGGUCAUGGCCAGUUCAGACCCGGACAGGGAAGCCCUGGGUGGUUCAGGCGAGGAAGAUCCUACGGUCCAUGGCGGUUCAGAUCUACACGAGGAGGAUCCUGGAAACCACUCGGCCAUUGCCAGGCUGACUGAUCGUGGACGUUUCUCUGAAGAUCAUUCGGCCAUUGCCACGCCAAAGGAGUCAGCCUUUCGUGUCCAAUCCAGGGCGUGGUGGUUCUGCCUCCGCUAUCAUUGUUUCCAACUCGAAGUACGUGAAUAUUUCCACUGGACAGACAGUUCCAGGACGGUCGGA